rnacentral:lncRNA from 1 species
AACAAAUAAACAAAAUAACAAUUUUUUUAGAAGGAAAGAAACAAGGGGAAAUUUGAGACUAUGCCAUGUUGAAUUGCAAAAAAGAAAAAAGAAUGAAAAAAGCAAGUUGCUAUCAAGUAUGAAUAUAGCAAAAGGGUGCCUCGUUUUACAUGAAGAAAAAGAAGGCACCCAAAUAAGAAAAACAGUGGUGGCAGAGUUAACGUCAGUCCAACUAUCAAAGGGGUCCACAAGUAAAUGCA